GAUGAACGCUGGCGGCGUGCCUAAUACAUGCAAGUCGAGCGAACAGACGAGGAGCUUGCGCCUCUGACGUUAGCGGCGGACGGGUGAGUAACACGUGGAUAACCUACCUAUAAGACUGGGAUAACUUCGGGAAACCGGAGCUAAUACCGGAUAAUACAUUGAACCGCAUGGUGCAAUAGUGAAAGACGGUUUUGCUGUCUCUUAUAGAUGGAUCCGCUCUGCAUUAGCUAGUUGGUAAGGUAACGGCUCACCAAGGCAACGAUGCGUAGCCGACCUGAGAGGGUGAUCAGCCACACUGGAACUGAGACACGGUCCAGACUCCUACGGGAGGCAGCAGUAGGGAAUCUUCCGCGAUGGGCGCAAGCCUGACCGAGCCACGCCGCGUGAGUUAAGAAGGCCUUCGGAUCGUAAAGCUCUGUUGUUAGGGAAGAACAAAUGUGUAAGUAACUCUGCACGUCCUGACGGUACCUAAACAGAAAGCCCCGGCUAACUACGUG
rnacentral:rRNA from 1 species